GACGAACGCUGGCGGCGUGCCUAAUACAUGCAAGUAGAACGCUGAAGGAGGAGCUUGCUUCUCUGGAUGAGUUGCGAACGGGUGAGUAACGCGUAGGUAACCUGCCUGGUAGCGGGGGAUAACUAUUGGAAACGAUAGCUAAUACCGCAUAAUAUUGACUAUUGCAUGAUAGUCAGUUGAAAGGUGCAACUGCACCACUACCAGAUGGACCUGCGUUGUAUUAGCUAGUUGGUGGGGUAACGGCUCACCAAGGCGACGAUACAUAGCCGACCUGAGAGGGUGAUCGGCCACACUGGGACUGCGACACGGCCCAGACUCCUACGGGAGGCAGCAGUAGGGAAUCUUCGGCAAUGGACGGAAGUCUGACCGAGCAACGCCGCGUGAGUGAAGAAGGUUUUCGGAUCGUAAAGCUCUGUUGUAAGAGAAGAACGAGUGUGAGAGUGGAAAGCUCACACUGUGACGGUAUCUUACCAGAAAGGGACGGCUAACUACGUG
rnacentral:rRNA from 1 species